GCCGAUGUAGCUCAGCUGGUAGAGCAAUGCUUUCGUAAANNUCGUAAAGCAGAGGUCGGCGGUUCAAAUCCGCCCAUCGGCUCCA
rnacentral:tRNA from 1 species